rnacentral:tRNA from 6 species
UGCGGGGUGGAGCAGUCUGGUAGCUCGUCGGGCUCAUAACCCGAAGGUCGCAGGUUCAAAUCCUGCCCCCGCCACCA